UAGGGAAUCUUCCACAAUGGACGCAAGUCUGAUGGAGCAACGCCGCGUGAGUGAAGAAGGUUUUCGGAUCGUAAAGCUCUGUUGUUGGUGAAGAAGGAUAGAGGCAGUAACUGGUCUUUAUUUGACGGUAAUCAACCAGAAAGUCACGGCUAACUACGUGCCAGCAGCCGCGGUAAUACGUAGGUGGCAAGCGUUGUCCGGAUUUAUUGGGCGUAAAGCGAGCGCAGGCGGAAUGAUAAGUCUGAUGUGAAAGCCCACGGCUCAACCGUGGAACUGCAUCGGAAACUGUCAUUCUUGAGUGCAGAAGAGGGGGGUGGAAUUCCAUGUGUAGCGGUGGAAUGCGUAGAUAUAUGGAAGAACACCAGUGGCGAAGGCGGCUCUCUGGUCUGCAACUGACGCUGAGGCUCGAAAGCAUGGGUAGCGAACAGG
rnacentral:rRNA from 1 species